rnacentral:lncRNA from 1 species
AUAGACACAUAUCAAAUCCAUUUGAAGUAAAAAACUAAUGUUCUUUGAAUAAAAUAACAUGUCCAUUUUUUUUUAAUUCCAUCCAAGAUUUGUUGAGUUAUCGUCAUGAAACCAAAGUGUUCAUGCAACCAAGUGAAAAUCAGUCGGAGCUCCAGCGAAGGAGUAGCGACGGAGACACAUUGCCGUCUGUCUGUUCGUCCACUCAUUCGUCUAGCCUUUGGUUCAUUCGUUCGUUCGUCCGCACGCCAUUUCGUUAGAUCAGGCGCCUGCAUCAUCGUCGUCGUCGGGCAGGCGAGGGGAGGCAUCCAAGGCAUCGUAAGUGUCGUGGACGUUGCCCGACAGUGGGGAACGCCACCUCAGCUUUUCGGCUCUGCCCGGGCGCCACGUCGACCCCGGCCCAGCCCGGAGGAAAAAGAGAAAGUGAGAAAAAAAAAAAAAAAAAAAAAGUGAAACUCAAACAGAGAGAAAGACAACACACAACAACUGCUUUUGUUGCUUUUGCCAGACCUCGGUUUCAGUUCGGAACUGACCGUAGUAGUCACCCCUCUUCUGAGGGAUUUGUUACAUGAACCUGGGCCAACUUACUUUGUAUGAGGGGUUUGAAUCCUGUUCCUCUUAUCUCACAACGGAGACCAUUAACAAAAGUAUAAUAAGCAUUAGUUAAAAAGAAUAAAGGUGAAAGUGAAAAAGUGGAAGAAAGUGGAGGUUAGGGGGAAGCUUGAAGGGGACUCAAGGGAGGGCUGUGGGAGAGGAUACGAUGGUGGCAGUAGCCAAAUAUCUCAUUGCAGCUUAUCCGGCUCUUUCAAGCUUUUUCUUCUUCUUCUUCUGGCUGCUCGUUCUGCAUUGAGUAAAGUGGAGUAAUAUAGAGGUCAUCACCGACACCCCACACAUGGCCCCCCUUUACU